rnacentral:rRNA from 1 species
UACGGAGGGUGCAAGCGUUGUCCGGAAUCACUGGGCGUAAAGGGCGCGUAGGCGGCCUGGUAAGUAGGGGGUGAAAUCCUGCGGCUUAACCGCAGGGCUGCCUUCUAAACUGUCAGGCUUGAGCACGGUAGAGGCGAGUGGAAUUCCUGGUGUAGCGGUGAAAUGCGCAGAUAUCAGGAGGAACACCAAUGGCGAAGGCAGCUCGCUGGGACGGUACUGACGCUGGAGACGCGAAAGCGUGGGGAGCAAACAGG